UUUAACUUGUAUGUUUUAUUCUGUUUUGUUAUAUAUUUUAGUCCAUAAUACUUAUGUUUUGAGAUCUUUUUUUCUCUCCUUGCAGUCAUGGGUCAUAGAAAAAGAUCAAAAGUGGAUAUUUCUAGUGAAUCUAACAGUGACAAUGAUUGUAGUUUGAGUUCUGAUAAUCAUGAUGGUGAUGUUCAUUUAUCUAAUCAUGAUGAAAGUUCUGAUAAUCAUGACCAACAUUUUGAGGAAAAUGAUCCUUUGCUUCAUUUAACUAAAGAAGAGCUUAUGAAGAAAUUGAAAAUAAAGCUUGGUAAAAGGCCAUUUACAGAUGACCAUAAAAAGAAGAGACAUAAAGUUGAAUCAGACUCAAUUAUCGAUGAUGCAUUGUUAGAGAUUCACAAUGAUCUAGUUCUCCAUUCUUUGAAAAUGAAAUUAAGCAUGCUUGGUGAACAGUCUAAAAAUAAGAGAAAAACCUUUGAGAAAGAUAACCAACAAGGGUGUGUUCUGACUGAUUGCAAAUUAUUGUUUUAUAUGAUCAUGAUCUUUAAUUUUUUAUAGUUUUUGAUAUGCUAUGGGAUAAGCUUGACACUUUUAUAUUUACUUGCUGAACAUUUAGCUGUGAUUGAAUGCUUGUGCAAGCAUGUGCUGCUCCAUGUUAGAAUGUCUGCAUACAUUUUUUUUCUUGCAAAAUAAACUGUAACUUUAAAUAUUUUUUCAUGUAAUUUUUUUCAGUUUCUUCAUAUAUGUAAGUUUUGUACUGUUACUGCAGUCAAGAAGCUGUUAAUAUUGAUGGAGUUCACUGCAAAUUCUCAUCUUUUGGUUCUUCAUUCAAACAAGGUGGAGAAUUAUCAAAUUUUGUAAUGUUUGUGUUCUGUCGAUAUAUGUUUAAAUCGAUUCAUCCUUCAAAAUCCAAAAGACACUAUUUCUUCUCUUCAAUUGGGAAUGAUCUUAUGAAACACCCUUCAAAAACUAAUUUUGGAAUGGUCCAAAAGAGUUUUUCUAGAGCAUCACUUGCUAGACCAAUUGAGAUAUGUGACAUGGUAUGUACUUAUGUAAUGUUUAAUUGAAUUAGUUUAUAUUAGAUUUCUCUGUUUUUACAUUUGUUUUUAUUGUAUCAUUUUUUCAGCUGUUUUUCCCAAUAUUGCAUUUGAGGCAUUGGUUUCUGUUUGUUGUUGAUUUGAAAGAUGAGAGUUUUGUUUUCAUUGACUCCUUAUUUGAAGAAGAAGAAGACUAUCAAUACAAUGCUAGAUGCAGAUUGGUAUGAUUUUUUUUUUGCAAAUUAUUAUAUGUAUAGAAUAAUUUAUUUUUAUGAUUGUUUCAUUUUGUCAGAUAUCAAAAUUUUCAAUUGUAUGGAGGAAAUUUGUCUCUGAACAUCCAAUUAACUUUGCUAGUUUCAAGAUAAUAUACCCACCUCGUCCAAGACAAACAAAUCGCCUUGAUUGUGGUAUUUUUACUCUGAAAUUCAUGGAAAUUUGGCGUCCAAGAGUUCUGCUAACCAACCAGUUCUCUCAAAAAGACAUUCCUAACAUAAGGAUUCAAUAUGUCAACAAGUUGUUUUUCCAUCCAUGCAACAUUAUGCUGAACUCUGCAACAAAGAAACUUGUUACUGACUAUUAUGCAAAGGGCUGAUUUGAUUCAACAGGAAUACUUUGAAAACCAAGAUUACUUUAGCUCAACAGUUUAUAGUAGAUUUGUAUAGAUACAAUUUCUGUGCCAUAUUGUAACUAUUACAGUAAGAUAACAACUUGAAAGGUCACAUCACAAAAGGUACCAAACUUCA